GUAAAAAACACCUGAGAGCUUCUCCCCUAAGGUUCAGGAACAAGAUAAGGAUGUCCAGUCUCAGCCUUUUAUUCAACAUGAAAUUGGAAUCUAGAAAG